AGUAAAAGGCAAAACCGCUGUGAGGCGGUGACGCAAAACUAGAGGGUCUCGGGGCGCAGGGAUCCGCCUUCGAGAUAGCCAGUUGCCA
rnacentral:ncRNA from 1 species